GGGAUAACCGCAGCCUUGAGAGGAUUGUCAAGCAACAUCCAUUCAAGAAUUUGGGAGAGCUUCACAAGCAGUGGACUGAAGCUGGAGUUGGCGCAACAAGAGCCACUACGCACAGACAAAUCCUAGACAUGGGCUACAAAUGUCACAUUCCUCGUGUCAAGCCACUGAACCAGAGACAACAUCAGAAGCGUCUUACCUGGGCUAAGGAGAAAAAGGACUGGACUGUUGCUCAGUGGUCCAAAGUCCUUUUCAGAUGAAAGCAAUUUUUAGAAUUUUAUUUGGAAAUAAAGGUCCCAGGGUCUGGAGAAAGAGAGUGGAGAGGCACAGAAUCCAUGUUGCUUGAAGUCCAGUGUGAAGUUUCCACAGUCAGUGAUGAUUUGGGGAGCCAUUGUCAUCUGGUAGUGUUGGUCCACUGUGUUUUCUGAAGUGCACAGUCAACACAGCCAUCUACCAGGACAUUUUAGAGCACUUCACGCUUCCUUCUGCUGACAAGCUUUUAUGGGGAUGCUGAUUUCAGUUUCCAGCAGGACUUGGCACCUGCCCACACAGCCAAAGGUACCAAAAGCUGGUUCAGUGACCAUGGUGUUACUGUGCUUAAUUGGCCAGCAUAGAGAAUCUGUGGGGUAUUGUCAAGAGGAAGAUGAGAGACACCAGACCCAACAAUGCAGAUGACCUGAAGGCUGCCAUCAAAGCAACCUGGGCUUCCAUUACACCUGAGCAGUGCCACACACUGAUCGCUUCCAUGCCACACUGCACUGAUGCAGUAAUUCAUGCAGAAGGAGGCCCAACCAAGUACUACAUGAGCUGUUGUUGCUGUUUCUACUGUCCCCUGUGUCUCUCUCUCUCUCUCUCUACCUCUCUCUCUCUCUACCUCUACCUUUCUGUCUGAGAUGGCGUGUGAGUGAGCAGCUGAGAGCGUUUUUCGAUUCAACUUUUUUCUAACUUUUGUUUCUUUUCUACUUUACUGAAUGAUCAUUGUUUGGAUUAUUUGUUGAUAACUUUUGGUUAAAUAGUUUAGUGGUUUUUGUGGUUUUUUUUCGUGGCGAGGAUGGCGUCCUCUGAGAUGCAACCUCCGCCAGCGUCCCUGAGACACAGCGUGAGGCUGGGGCCACUGCCGGACUCCUCUGUGGAGCAGGUCCUGUUGGCUGUGGGAGACCAGCUCGGCCACAGGAGUAUCUCCCAUGCCUCCCGCAUGAACAAAGCCGUGGUUGUGUUUUCAAAGAUCAGAGCUUAGUCACCACACUUAUUGAGACUGGAUUAACCUUUUAAUGAGGAGUUCAUUCAAGUUUCCCCGCUGGCUGUGCCGUCCACGUGGAUCACCGUGUCCGGCGUCCCUCCAUUCAUUCCGAAUGAAGCACUGGAACGGGAGCUCAAGCAUUUCGGUAAGUUUGCGAGUGGUUUGCGUACUGUUGCUUUAGGGUGUAAGGAUGCCAAGCUCAGGGCCAGAUUAUGGGGGGUCUGGGCCCGGGGGCCAGGAAUUUGCAAAGCCCCCCCACCCCCACCCCUGCGCCAACCUACCGUACCUAAGGAUUCUACAAAAGUUUCUUUCUGCUCUUCCUUCUUGCAAAGUCAUCCACUAACAGAUAAAAGUUGAGCUUUCGAACAAACUCUGAUUCUAUUGCAAGAAGGGAGAGUGAAUUCAACCGAUUUUGGCACAUUUUCAUCCUGAGCUCAUUUUUUAUUUGAGCCAGUCUGGAGAAUGACCGUUCCCCUUCACAGUUUGUUAUUGGCAGGGUCAAAAACAGUCUGAGUGCUAUAUAAACAUUUGGGAAAGUGGACUGUAAAUCCAAAUUUACCAUGGUCUUUAGCAUUGUAUUUGGGUAUUUUUGUUCUUCUGAAAUGAAUGAUUUGUACUGAACAAGUUCAUCUGCCAAGCUCAUGGUCAGAUCAGUGGGAUAUGCUGCAGCAAUAGAUUGCAUUGCUUUCAGCACUCAGUAUUUCCACACAUUUUCUGCAAGGAAAUGCAGUUUUUCUAGUUUCCACUUCCUAAUUUGUUCACUGCAAAUACAGUAGCCCUUACAAUGGCUUUAAGUCUAGUUAAGGUACACUAUUAUUACAAUACAAUACAAUACAAUUCAAUUCAAUGUCAAUGAGCUUUUUAAUAGGGUGCUGGGUGCUAAAUCUGAUAGUCAAGGAAAGGUUUUAAUGUCAGAAUGUUGUUAGGAGUUUCAAUAAAUGGAUUUAACAAUAUUGGAUUUUCACUGCCAUUUCUGCCAUGUGAGGAGUUUCGAUAAAAGCAAUGCCGAGUGUAAUGUGGGAGUGUUGUAUUGAUAUUGGAUUUUCACUUGGACUUCACUUUGUUGGCAUUGGUGUGUAAAGUACACCCCUUUACGGUGGGGACAUAAGGAAGCAAAAUCUGCAAAGUGAAGCGGGGCGAAACUCAUUUUUCUUAAGGUGAAUAUCUACCAGUCUACUUCUCUCCUCGAAGAUA